CAGAGGCCAGGAAAGCAUUAAGUGAGUGCAAAGAGCUGAGACUAACAUGGCUGCUACUCUGAAACAUGGUGGACCGUCGCUUUUGGGCUUGCAUUGUUAUGCAGAUCUGCGAUGACGAGCAGUGGCUGCAGAACAUUCAGAUGCAGAAAGCCACCUUCCUGGAACAGUGCGCGGAGCUUGGCCCAGCACUGCGGCGCAAGGACACCAAAAUGAGAGCUGCCCUCUCAGUGGAGAAACAUGAGGCAAUCACUCUGUGGAAACUGGCAACUUUAGACUGCUACCAGUCAGGUCGCGAAUCAGUUUGGUGUCCAUAGUUGGGACUGCAUUAUCGCAAGUGUGCAGGACACUCUCUUACAAAAAACUGUGACUCUUGGAAAUGUGUGUGAUACAGUGGAUGGCUUUGAGACAACGGGAUUUCCUAACUGUGGCACAGCGAUAGAUGGCACACAUACCCCAAUUUUGGCCACAGACUAUCUUGCAAAGGAGUACAUCAAUAGAAAGGGGUAUUUCUCUAUGGCAUUGCAGGCACUUGUGGAUCACUGUGGGCGUGUCACUGACACCAAUGCGGGCUGGUCCGGGAAGGUGCAUGACGCACACAUCUUCAGGAGCACUGGCCUGGGACAGAAAGCUGCAAGCAGAGACUUGCUUUCCAGACAAGAUUCCAAUGGGGGAUGUUGAAAUGCCCAAAGUGAUCCUGGGAGACCCAGCAUACCCUUUACUCCCAUGGCUCAUGAAGCCUUACAUAGGAAACCUGGACAGCAGCAAGGAGCACUUCAACAACAGGCUGAGCAAAUGCAGAAUGGCCGUAGAAUGUGCCUUUGGCAGAUUAAAAGCACACUGGCACUGCCUUUAUGGCAGAUUAGACCUAAAUGAGGAAAAUAUUCCCAUGGUCAUAGUAACCUCCUGUGUGCUGCAUACUAUUUGUGAGGCUAAGGGUGAAAAGUUUCCCUCAGGGCGGAGCAUGGAUGCGGAUCACUUGGCGGCUGAUUUUGAGCAGCCAGAACCAGGGCUAUUAUGGGGCACAACAGAGGGCUAUUUGAAUCCUGGAGCCUUUUAGGCACCAUUUUGACAAUGAGCACCAGCAAUGUGUCUUGCUAUACAGCACUCUGCCAUGCUUUGUUAACUUGCCACCUUGCAUGAAAAUUUUGAUGAUUCCUGAUCGUGAUUUGUAGUCAGCAAGUGAUCAGAUUGCAACUGUGUAUUAAUUCCAGCAGCAACCACUGUGUGUAGGAGACAAAUAAAGACUGAUUAUUUUUCA